rnacentral:rRNA from 1 species
AACGAACGCUGGCGGCAGGCCUAACACAUGCAAGUCGAACGAACCUUUAUGGUGAGUGGCGCACGGGUGCGUAACACGUGGGAAUAUACAUUUCGGUAAGGAAUAACGUAGAGAAAUUUGCGCUAAUACCUUAUAAUGACUCCGGUCCAAAGAUUUAUCGCCGAAGGAUUAGCCCGCGUCUGAUUAGGUAGUUGGUAGGGUAAAAGCCUACCAAGCCGACGAUCAGUAGCUGGUCUGAGAGGAGGAUCAGCCACACUGGAACUGAGACACGGUCCAGAGUCCUACGGGAGGCAGCAGUGAGGAAUAUUGGACAAUGGGAGAAACCCUGAUCCAGCCAUGCAGCGUGAGUGACGAAGGCCUUAGGGUUGUAAAGCUCGUUCAGAUGCGAAGAUAAUGACGGUAACAUCAGAAGAAGCUCCGGCUAAAUUCGUGCCAGCCGCCGCCGUAA